CUCUCUCUCUCUCUCUCUCGCUCUUUUUCCUUGUGUAAAUGAACCAAGCCGUUUGUGAGCUACUCAAGACUCGGCUCGAUAAAAGUUCAGCUCGGUUCGACUUAUUUUCUAAACUAGCCGAACUCGAACUUGAAUUUUAGGCUCAUUUAAUAAACAAGUCGAGCUUGAACUUAGUAGUAUUUGGCUUGAGCUUGAGUUCGAACUCAACUUGUUUACAGGCUCGCGAGUUAGACCAUUGAACAGACUCACAAUCUGGCUUGUUAAACAGGCUUGUGAACUAGCUCGUGAAUAAAUUCGUAAAUAAGCUCAUUUUAAGGCUCGUUUAUAAGCUCAUGAACUAGCUCAUUUAUAAAAACAUUUAUAAUAAUAAUUA
rnacentral:misc_RNA from 1 species